rnacentral:rRNA from 1 species
GAUGAACGCUGGCGGCGUGCCUAAUACAUGCAAGUCGAGCGAACGGACGAGAAGCUUGCUUCUCUGAUGUUAGCGGCGGACGGGUGAGUAACACGUGGAUACCCUACCUAUAAGACUGGGAUAACUUCGGGAAACCGGCGCUAAUACCGGAUAAUAUUUUGAACCGCAUGGUUCAAAAGUGAAAGACGGUCUUGCUGUCACUUAUAGAUGGAUCCGCGCUGCAUUAGCUAGUUGGUAAGGUAACGGCUUACCAAGGCAACGAUGCAUAGCCGACCGGAGAGGGGGAUCGGCCACACUGGAACUGGGACACGGUCCAGACUCCUACGGGAGGCAGCAGUAGGGAAUCUUCCGCAAUGGGCGAAAGCCUGACGGAGCAACGCCGCGUGAGUGAUGAAGGUCUUCGGAUCGUAAAACUCUGUUAUUAGGGAAGAACAUAUGUGUAAGUAACUGUGCACAUCUUGACGGUACCUAAUCAGAAAGCCACGGCUAACUACGUG